rnacentral:rRNA from 1 species
GACGUAGGGCGCGAGCGUUGUCCGGAUUUAUUGGGCGUAAAGGGCUCGUAGGCGGCUCGUCGCGUCUGUCGUGAAAGGCUCCGGCUUAACUGGGGUUUUGCGGUGGAUACGGGCGGGCUUGAGGCUAGUAGGGGAGAUCGGAAUUCUACGUGUAGCGGUGAAAUGCGCAGAUAUGUGGAGGAACACCGGUGGCGAAGGCGGAUCUCUGGGCUGGUUCUGACGCUGAGGAGCGAAAGCAUGGGGAGCGAACAGG